rnacentral:rRNA from 1 species
AGAUUGAACGCUGGCGGCAUGCCUUACACAUGCAAGUCGAACGGCAGCACGGGGGCAACCCUGGUGGCGAGUGGCGAACGGGUGAGUAACAUAUCGGAACGUGCCCUGGAGUGGGGGAUAACUAGUCGAAAGACUAGCUAAUACCGCAUACGAUCUACGGAUGAAAGUGGGGGAUCGCAAGACCUCAUGCUCGUGGAGCGGCCGAUAUCUGAUUAGCUAGUUGGUGGGUAAGCCUACCAAGGCAUCGAUCAGUAGCUGGUCUGAGAGGACGACCAGCCACACUGGGACUGAGACACGG